UGUUGAACCGCAUGGUUCUACAGUGAAAGACGGUCUUGCUGUCACUUAUAGAUGGACCCGCGCCGUAUUAGCUAGUUGGUGGGGUAACGGCCUACCAAGGCGACGAUACGUAGCCGACCUGAGAGGGUGAUCGGCCACACUGGAACUGAGACACGGUCCAGACUCCUACGGGAGGCAGCAGUAGGGAAUCUUCCGCAAUGGGCGAAAGCCUGACGGAGCAACGCCGCGUGAGUGAUGAAGGUCUUCGGAUCGUAAAGCUCUGUUGUUAGGGAAGAACAAAUGUGUAAGUAACUGUGCACAUCUUGACGGUACCUAACCAGAAAGCCACGGCUAACUACGUGCCAGCAGCCGCGGUAAUACGUAGGUGGCAAGCGUUAUCCGGAAUUAUUGGGCGUAAAGCGCGCGUAGGCGGUUUUUUAAGUCUGAUGUGAAAGCCCACGGCUCAACCGUGGAGGGUCAUUGGAAACUGGAAAACUUGAGUGCAGAAGAGGAGAGUGGAAUUCCAUGUGUAGCGGUGAAAUGCGCAGAGAUAUGGAGGAACACCAGUGGCGAAGGCGGCUUUCUGGUCUGCAACUGACGCUGAUGUGCGAAAGCGUGGGGAUCAAACAGGAUUAGAUACCCUGGUAGUCCACGCCGUAAACGAUGAGUGCUAAGUGUUAGGGGGUUUCCGCCCCUUAGUGCUGCAGCUAACGCAUUAAGCACUCCGCCUGGGGAGUACGGUCGCAAGACUGAAACUCAAAGGAAUUGACGGGGACGCGCACAAGCGGUGGAGCAUGUGGUUUAAUUCGAAGCAACGCGGAGAACCUUACCAAAUCUUGACAUCCUUUGACCGCUCUAGAGAUAGAGUUUUCCUCUUCGGAGGACAAAGUGACAGGUGGUGCAUGGUUGUCGUCACCUCCUGUCGUGAGAUGUUGGGUUAAGUCCCGCACGACCGCAACCCUUGAACUAAU
rnacentral:rRNA from 1 species